rfam:Sorghum bicolor cultivar BTx623 chromosome 7, whole genome shotgun sequence.
UAACUCCUUACUAAGUGGUUUACUAUAACAUUAAAAUAACUUAUUUUGUUAAUUUACAAGAUUAUAGUAACUCCUUACUAAGUGGUUUACUAUAACAUUACGGUAAAUAUCCCCAUGUGUUAUAGUGACCCAACUAUCGUAAAUAUGUAUAUAUAUUAUCGUAAAUUAGUAUAUAAAAUUAUCGUAAAUGGAGGUGGCUACAGAAUAACAUAUUUUGUAGCUA